GGGUUGUGAGGUUAAGUGACUAAGCGUACACGGUGGAUGCCUAGGCAGUCAGAGGCGAUGAAGGGCGUGCUAAUCUGCGAAAAGCGUCGGUAAGGUGAUAUGAACCGUUAUAACCGGCGAUACCCGAAUGGGGAAACCCAGUGUGUUUCGACACACUAUCAUGUCAUGAAUACAUAGUGGCAUGAGGCGAACCGGGGGAACUGAAACAUCUAAGUACCCCGAGGAAAAGAAAUCAACCGAGAUUCCCCCAGUAGCGGCGAGCGAACGGGGAGGAGCCCAGAACCUGAAUCGGCUUGUGUGUUAGUGGAAGCGUCUGGAAAGUCGCGCAGCAAAGGGUGAUAGCCCCGUACACUAAAAUGCACAGGUCGUGAGUUCGAUGAGUAGGGCGGGACACGUGACAUCCUGUCUGAAUAUGGGGGGACCAUCCUCCAAGGCUAAAUACUCCUGACUGACCGAUAGUGAACCAGUACCGUGAGGAAAGGCGAAAAGAACCCCGGCGAGGGGAGUGAAAUAGAACCUGAAACCGUGUACGUACAAGCAGUGGGAGCACCUUCGUGGUGUGACUGCGUACCUUUGUAUAAUGGGUCAGCGACUUAUAUUUUGUAGCAAGGUUAACCGUAUAGGGGAGCCGUAGGAAACCGAGUCUUAACUGGGCGAAUAGUUGCAAGGUAUAGACCCGAAACCCGGUGAUCUAGCCAUGGGCAGGUUGAAGGUUGGGUAACACUAACUGGAGGACCGAACCGACUAAUGUUGAAAAAUUAGCGGAUGACUUGUGGCUGGGGGUGAAAGGCCAAUCAAACCGGGAGAUAGCUGGUUCUCCCGAAAGCUAUUUAGGUAGCGCCUCGUGAACUCAUCUUCGGGGGUAGAGCACUGUUUCGGCUAGGGGGCCAUCCCGGCUUACCAAACCGAUGCAAACUCCGAAUACCGAAGAAUGUUAUCACGGGAGACACACGGCGGGUGCUAACGUCCGUCGUGAAGAGGGAAACAACCCAGACCGCCAGCUAAGGUCCCAAAGUCAUGGUUAAGUGGGAAACGAUGUGGGAAGGCAUAGACAGCCAGGAUGUUGGCUUAGAAGCAGCCAUCAUUUAAAGAAAGCGUAAUAGCUCACUGGUCGAGUCGGCCUGCGCGGAAGAUGUAACGGGGCUAAACCAUGCACCGAAGCUGCGGCAGCGACGCUUAGGCGUUGUUGGGUAGGGGAGCGUUCUGUAAGCCGUUGAAGGUGGCCUGUGAGGGUUGCUGGAGGUAUCAGAAGUGCGAAUGCUGACAUAAGUAACGAUAAAGCGGGUGAAAAGCCCGCUCGCCGGAAGACCAAGGGUUCCUGUCCAACGUUAAUCGGGGCAGGGUGAGUCGACCCCCUAAGGCGAGGCUGAAAAGCGUAGUCGAUGGGAAACAGGUUAAUAUUCCUGUACUUGGUGUUACUGCGAAGGGGGGACGGAGAAGGCUAGGCUAGCCGGGCGACGGUUGUCCCGGUUUAAGCGUGUAGGGGGGUGUGACCUGGUAAAUCCGGUUACAUACUAACCCUGAGGCGUGAUGACGAUGCACUACGGUGCAGAAGUAGUUGAUGCCCUGCUUCCAGGAAAAGCCUCUAAGCUCUAGGUAACAUUGAAUCGUACCCCAAACCGACACAGGUGGUCAGGUAGAGAAUACCAAGGCGCUUGAGAGAACUCGGGUGAAGGAACUAGGCAAAAUGGUGCCGUAACUUCGGGAGAAGGCACGCUGGCAUGUAGGUGAAGUCCCUUGCGGAUGGAGCUGAAGCCAGUCGAAGAUACCAGCUGGCUGCAACUGUUUAAUAAAAACACAGCACUGUGCAAACACGAAAGUGGACGUAUACGGUGUGACGCCUGCCCGGUGCUGGAAGGUUAAUUGAUGGGGUCAGCCGCAAGGCGAAGCUCUUGAUCGAAGCCCCAGUAAACGGCGGCCGUAACUAUAACGGUCCUAAGGUAGCGAAAUUCCUUGUCGGGUAAGUUCCGACCUGCACGAAUGGCGUAAUGAUGGCCAGGCUGUCUCCACCCGAGACUCAGUGAAAUUGAACUCGCUGUGAAGAUGCAGUGUACCCGCGGCAAGACGGAAAGACCCCGUGAACCUUUACUAUAGCUUGACACUGAACAUUGAGCCUUGAUGUGUAGGAUAGGUGGGAGGCUUUGAAGCGUGGACGCCAGUCUGCGUGGAGCCAUCCUUGAAAUACCACCCUUUAAUGUUUGAUGUUCUAACUCGGCCCCAUAAUCUGGGGUGAGGACAGUGUCUGGUGGGUAGUUUGACUGGGGCGGUCUCCUCCCAAAGAGUAACGGAGGAGCACGAAGGUUAGCUAAUCACGGUCGGACAUCGUGAGGUUAGUGCAAAGGCAUAAGCUAGCUUGACUGCGAGAGUGACGGCUCGAGCAGGUACGAAAGUAGGUCUUAGUGAUCCGGUGGUUCUGAAUGGAAGGGCCAUCGCUCAACGGAUAAAAGGUACUCCGGGGAUAACAGGCUGAUACCGCCCAAGAGUUCAUAUCGACGGCGGUGUUUGGCACCUCGAUGUCGGCUCAUCACAUCCUGGGGCUGAAGUAGGUCCCAAGGGUAUGGCUGUUCGCCAUUUAAAGUGGUACGCGAGCUGGGUUUAGAACGUCGUGAGACAGUUCGGUCCCUAUCUGCCGUGGGCGUUGGAAGAUUGAGAGGGGUUGCUCCUAGUACGAGAGGACCGGAGUGAACGCACCACUGGUGUUCGGGUUGUCAUGCCAAUGGCAUUGCCCGGUAGCUAAGUGCGGAAAAGAUAAGCGCUGAAAGCAUCUAAGCGCGAAACUUGCCUCAAGAUGAGUCUUCCCUUGGACUUUGAGUCCACUGAAGGAACGUUUAAGACUAAGACGUUGAUAGGCUGGGUGUGUAAGUGCAGCGAUGCAUUGAGCUAACCAGUACUAAUGAUCCGUGAGGCUUAACCUUACAACACCGAAGGUGUUU
rnacentral:rRNA from 1 species